GCCAGUAUUAUGAUGAUUAAAAAAAUUGCCGUUUACCUAACAGAGUGUUUGUGGUGAAACCAUCUCAAUCUGAAAUGUUGGC